rnacentral:ncRNA from 1 species
AAAAAAGCUAUGAUAGAGAAAAGUAUUAUAAUUUAACUUAGGCAAGAGAAAAAUACAUUUGCUGUGAGUAUUUACUAAGUAUUUAUAAGAAGUUCACUCUGGAGCAUUAAAGCUGAACAGAAAUCAGUAGGUUUUAACGUUGAACGCGUUAAGUUUUGUUGAGUGGUUUAUUAAUAUUUUUAUAUUAUUAAACUACUAGGGUGGUACCGCGAAUAACAGUCUUUCGUCCCUAGA